rnacentral:lncRNA from 1 species
AUGGCUCAUCCAGUUCAAUUAGGCCUUCAAGAUGCUAUAUCCCCUAUUAUAGAAGAACUACUCACUUUCCAUGAUCACGCUCUUAUAAUUAUUUUCCUAAUUAGUUCCCUAGUCCUAUACACUAUUUCCCUAAUACUCAGAACAAACUUAACUCAUAUUAGCGCCAUACAUGCCCAAGAAAUUGAGACUGUGUGAACUAUUUUACCCACCAUUAUCUUAAUUUUAAUUGCCCUCCCAUCCCUACGUAUUCUGUACAUAAGAGACGAGGUUAACAACACUUCUCUUACGAUCAAAGCAAUUGGCCACCAAUGAUAUUGAAGCUAUAAACAUACAGACUCUGAAGAUUUAGGCUUCUAUUCUUACAUGAUUCCAACAGCAGACUUAAAGCCAGGAGAACUUCGACUCCUCGGAGUUAAUAACCUUAUA